AGAGUUUGAUCCUGGCUCAGAUUGAACGCUGGCGGCAGGCCUAACACAUGCAAGUCGAACGGUAACAGGAAGCAGCUUGCUGCUUUGCUGACGAGUGGCGGACGGGUGAGUAAUGUCUGGGAAACUGCCUGAUGGAGGGGGAUAACUACUGGAAACGGUAGCUAAUACCGCAUAACGUCGCAAGACCAAAGAGGGGGACCUUCGGGCCUCUUGCCAUCGGAUGUGCCCAGAUGGGAUUAGCUUGUUGGUGGGGUAACGGCUCACCAAGGCGACGAUCCCUAGCUGGUCUGAGAGGAUGACCAGCCACACUGGAACUGAGACACGGUCCAGACUCCUACGGGAGGCAGCAGUGGGGAAUAUUGCACAAUGGGCGCAAGCCUGAUGCAGCCAUGCCGCGUGUAUGAAGAAGGCCUUCGGGUUGUAAAGUACUUUCAGCGGGGAGGA
rnacentral:rRNA from 1 species